rnacentral:rRNA from 1 species
AUUGAACGCUGGCGGCAGGCCUAACACAUGCAAGUCGAGCGAGCGGCGGACGGGUGAGUAAUGUAUGGGGACUGCCCGAUAGAGGGGGAUAACUACUGGAAACGGUAGCUAAUACCGCAUACUAUCGGAUAACCCAUAUGGGAUUAGCUAGUAGGUGAGGUAAUGGCUCACCUAGGCGACGAUCCCUAGCUGGUCUGAGAGGAGGAGCAGCCACACUGGGACUGUGACCCGGCACAGCCUCCAACGGAGGCAGCAGUGGGGAAGAUUGCACAAUGGGCGCAAGCCUGAUGCAGCCAUGCCGCUAGUAGAAAUAAGGCCCUAGGGUUGUAAAGUACUGUCAGUGGGGAGGCGUGACCGGCAGAAGAAGCACGGGCUAACUCCGUGCCAGCAGCCGCGGUAAUAC